rnacentral:rRNA from 1 species
AUUGAACGCUGGCGGCAGGCUUAACACAUGCAAGUCGAACGAGUGGCGGACGGGUGAGUAAUGCUUGGGCAUCUAGCUUAUGGAGGGGGAUAACUACGGGAAACUGUAGCUAAUACCGCUUAACAUAGGAUGGGCCCAAGUGGGAUUAGGUACUUGGUGAGGUAAAGGCUCACAAAGCCGACGAUCCCUAGCUGGUCUGAGAGGAUGACCAGCCACACUGGGACUGAGACACGGCCCAGACUCCUACGGGAGGCAGCAGUGGGGAAUAUUGCGCAAUGGGGGCAAACCGGACGCAGCAAUGCCGCGGGAAUGAAGAAGGCCUUAGGGUUGUAAAGUACUUUCAGCGGGGAGGCGUUACCCGAAGAAGAAGCACCGGCUAACUCCGUGCCAGCAGCCGCGGUAAUAC